rnacentral:SRP_RNA from 1 species
GUGAUAGUAGAGAGGGCAGGAGGCCAGAGAGGGGAUGGGGUAAAAAGAGAGUCACAGAGACAGGGUAGAAAGGACGAGAAGGAGGGAAAACGACCUGCAUCUUGCUGAUA